UACGUAGGGUGCGAGCGUUAAUCGGAAUUACUGGGCGUAAAGCGUGUACGCAGGCGGUCUGUUAAGACAGAUGUGAAAUCCCCGGGCUUAACCGUGGGAACUGCAUUUGGUGACUGGCAGGCUAGAGUAUGGCGAGAGGGGGGUAGAAUUCCACGUGAUAGCAGUGAAAUGCGUAGAGAUGUGGAGGAAUACCGAUGGCGAAGGCGAGCCCCCUGGGCCCAAUGAC
rnacentral:rRNA from 1 species